rnacentral:rRNA from 1 species
UAGGGAAUCUUCCACAAUGGACGCAAGUCUGAUGGAGCAACGCCGCGUGAGUGAAGAAGGCUUUCGGGUCGUAAAACUCUGUUAUUGAAGAAGAACGUGUGUGACAGUAACUGGUCAUGCAGUGACGGUAUUCAAUCAGAAAGUCACGGCUAACUACGUGCCAGCAGCCGCGGUAAUACGUAGGUGGCAAGCGUUGUCCGGAUUUAUUGGGCGUAAAGCGAGUGCAGGCGGUCUUUUAAGUCUGAUGUGAAAGCCUUCGGCUUAACCGAAGAAGGGCAUCGGAAACUGGGAGACUUGAGUGCAGAAGAGGAGAGUGGAACUCCAUGUGUAGCGGUGAAAUGCGUAGAUAUAUGGAAGAACACCAGUGGCGAAGGCGGCUCUCUGGUCUGUAACUGACGCUGAGGCUCGAAAGCGUGGGUAGCAAACAGGAUUAGAUACCCUGGUAGUCCACGCCGUAAACGAUGAAUACU